AAAGGCUGCUGGGUCAUUUUACACUGAUGAAUACUCAUUUUCUUUUCUCAUGCCUCUGUAUAUGUCUCCCACUGUCCUCAGAAGGAUGAGAUAGCUGAAGCUGCACAGGGUGCUGGGCCCAACCACAUUCCAAAAUAGAUGAUAGAGCAUUGCUAUCUGGUGAGAGGGAACCUGAGCUUGCCCUCUGGGGAUGUUGUAUGGGGCACCAUAAAGCUAUUGCUGAAGACACACUUGCAAGCAGGUGACCUGGAUGGGCUGCAGUUUGACCUGUGGAGCAGGAAGAAAGCAUCUAAUUAAGAGCUGGGAAGUUUCACUGGGAACUGAAGAUGUCCUGCCUUUGGAGCCCUGGCUGUGAUGUGCAGCAAGAACUGGGAAGAGUCCUGGAGCUGCUGCCCUGACUCUGACUGCAAGAGUGGAGAAGGAAGAGAGAUUGCUUGCCCCAGGAAGACAAUUCCAGGCUCUUGUGCUUGUUGGAAAUGAUGGGAGACCAAGGGAGUUGUGCUCUUAGUUGGGCUUUGUGCAUGGGGCAGAAGGCAGUGCCCUUGGCAGGCUCCUGCAUAGCACCUUGUGAGCCAGAAUCCCCAUGCAGACAUUAAGUGGAAGAGUCUCAGUGUAACAGAUUGUUGGAGCUGUUUGUUGUCCUUCAUUGUGUAAUUCAGAUCAAGAGAGGAAAUGAAUGUACUCGGUCUAAAAAAAUUCUGUGUUCCUUCCGAUUUUUAUGAAUGUGUAUAACAAGAACCUUUGGAAGAGCUGCAUGUUAAUGCAUAAGUGGUUAAAUUACAGUAGCAUCAAGGAUUUGAUUUAAACUAACAGAUUCAAGAAUUUCCAAUAAAACCAAAAAUCUCUUUUCAUCCAAA